UACGUAGGGAGCGAGCGUUGUCCGGAUUCAUUGGGCGUAAAGAGCUCGUAGGCGGCUUGGUAAGUCGGAUGUGAAACCUCCAGGCUCAACCUGGAGACGCCACCCGAUACUGCCAUGGCUUGAGUCCGGUAGGGGACCACGGAAUUCCUGGUGUAGCGGUGAAAUGCGCAGAUAUCAGGAGGAACACCGGUGGCGAAGGCGGUGGUCUGGGCCGGUACUGACGCUGAGGAGCGAAAGCGUGGGGAGCGAACAGG
rnacentral:rRNA from 1 species